CUGAUUUCUUAACCUUUCACUUGUAUUUAUCUCCACUGUUGUGUUGUGUUACAGAGGUGAUGGUGAGCGGUGCUAAGGCAGACUUGGCACUGCAAGAUGCAGACAGGAACACAGCAUUGCAUUUGGCUUGCAGCAAGGGUCACGAGACAAGUGCCUUGUUGAUUCUGGAGAAAAUCAGCGACAGGAAUCUCAUUAACUGCACCAACGCUGCUCUGCAGACGCCCUUGCAUGUAGCAGCCAGGAAGGA